rnacentral:rRNA from 1 species
UACGGAGGGGGCAAGCGUUAUUCGGAAUUAUUGGGCGUAAAGGGCGCGUAGGCGGCUAGAUGUGUCAAAGGUGAAAUCCCUCGGCUCAACUGAGGAACUGCCUUUGAAACUGUCUGGCUUGAGGCCGGGAGAGGGUAGCGGAAUUCCCAGUGUAGCGGUGAAAUGCGUAGAUAUUGGGAGGAACACCAGUGGCGAAGGCGGCUCACUGGACCGGAACUGACGCUGAGGCGCGAAAGCGUGGGGAGCAAACAGG